AUACACAUGUAUGCUAAUUGAUAAAAUUGGGGUGCAGAGUAUUGGAUGAAUGAAAUGAUUUUUCAUUUCCCGCCAAAUUUUGACGCUCCACAGUUAAGUGAAACGGUGCGCUCAAGGCUCGCAAGGAUAAGACUGAAAACGUCACCGUUCCAACUCGUCUCUUCCAGCUCAUCGUCCUUCUCCUUUCUGAAUUUUCUCCUGCAACCUCUGAACAUUUCUGUUAGAGCUCCAACGCUCAUAGCCAGCUAAUCAGCUGUGCAAUUUGUCGUCUUUCUUACCUUCCUUCUUGUAUAUGAACUGAUGAUUGAAGAAAUGAAAAGCUCGAGUUGUUUUCCCUAAAAUUCCAACAGCGUUAACUCCUGUCAAAUAACCCUGUCAACCUUCCUACUCCUGCCACGCCCCAACCUGAAGCAGAACAAAUGCUCCCUGAUGAGCAUGGACAGUCCUCUAACAGUGAUAGUGAGGAUGAAUCAAUCACACAUCAAGCCACUCCAAUCCAAUCACCUCCUACACAAAGCUCCCCACAUAACAGAAAAAGCACCAGAACUCAUAAACCACCAUCCUACCUGCAGGACUAUCACUGUCAACUCCUUGUGCAGCAAGGGGAAACCAAUCAGGGUGCUCCAAAGGUAUGUCCUAAACUGCAUAAUGGUGGAAAGAUAGUUCACCCCCUUAGCACUGUGCUCUCUUAUGAUGAUCUAAGCCAUGAGCAUAAGCAUUUUGUUUUGAGCAUAACAACAGAGAAGGAACCAAAGUCUUAUGCAGAGGCAGUGAAAGAUCCCAGAUGGAUUGACGCUAUGAAUCAGGAAACUAAUGCACUGGAGGCCAACAAAACGUGGGAGGUGGUUGACCUACCUACAGGAAUGAAAGAAGUAGGUAGCAAAUGGGUCUACAGGAUCAAGUAUAAGUCAGAUGGCUCCAUUAAGAGAUUCAAGGCUAGAACAGCUGUCAAAGGUUACACUCAAGAGGAAGGAAUUGACUAUCAAGAAACAUUCUCACCAGUGAUAAAAAUGACCACCAUCAGAACCUUCCUAGCCCUGGCAGCUUCCAGAGACUGGUUUGUACAUCAAUUGGAUGUGAACAAUGCUUUUCUUCAUGGUGAUCUACAUGAGAAAGUCUAUAUGAAACCUCCUCAAGGUCUGAAAGUCGACAGUUCCUUAAAAAGACCAGUUUGCAGACUGCUUAAGUCAUUAUAUGAGCUGAAACAAGUUUCCAGACAAUGGUACUACAAGCUCUCAGAAAAGUUACAGGAGAUAGGAUACACACAAAGGAAAGUGGAUCACUCUCUCUUCUUGAGAAGCACUGGUAUGUCCUUUACAGCAGUAUUAGUCUACGUUGAUGAUAUGAUAGUUGGAGGAAAUGAUUUUUCAGAAAUUUCAAGACUUAAGGAGGCACUGCACAAUGCAUUCAAAAUUAAAGACCUAGGGGAGCUAAAAUACUUCCUAGGUCUCGAAGUUGCAAGGAAUGUUUCAGGAAUUCAUUUAUCACAAAGGAAGUAUGUACUGGAGUUGCUGGAGGAGACAGAUAUGCUAGAAAGCAAACCAGUGGCCACACCAAUGGAUUACAAGUCACAUUUAUCCUCAAUUGGUGACGAUGAGUUUCACGACCCUGAGUUAUACAGAAGAAUAGUAGGGAAGCUAAUCUAUCUGAACAACACAAGACCAGACAUAAGCUUUGCCACUCAACAAGUAAGUCAAUUCAUGUCCAAACCCUUAAACAUUCACUACAAAGCUGUUACAAGAAUAUUAAGGUAUUUGAAAGGGGUUCCUGCCACUGGAAUUCUUCUGUCUUCCACUUCAAGUCUUCAGCUGCAAGCGUACAGUGACUCAGACUGGGCAGCUUGCCCUGACACUAGAAGAUCAGUCACUGGAUAUUGUGUGUUUCUAGGCAAUUCACCAAUCUCCUGGAAAAGCAAGAAGCAGUCCACUAUUUCCAGAAGUUCCUGUGAGGCAGAAUACCGUGCUCUUGCCCACACAACUAGUAAGCUCCAAUGGUUGCUCUACCUACUUGCAGAAUUUCAAGCACAACACCACCAAGCAGCAAUGAUCUUCUGUGACAAUCAAUCUGCAAUUCAUGUGGCAGAAAAUGCUGUGUUUCAUGAGAGACCAAAGCAUAUAGAAUUGGAUUGCCACUUUAUCGGAGAGAAGGUUCAGUCCAGAACCAUCAAGCUCAUUCACGUUCCAACGAAUCACCAGGUAGCAGAUGUCCUGACAAAAGCUCUAUCCCCAUCCAUUCCUUUACCUGAGCUCCAAGCUUGGUUUGCACAAUCUGUGCCCACCAGCUUGAGGGGGGUAUUGGAUGAAUUAAAUGAUUUUUCAUUUCCCGCCAAAUUUCGACGCUCCACAGUUAAGUGAAACGGUGCGCUCAAGGCUCGCAAGGAUAAGACUGAAAACGUCACCGUUCCAACUCGUCUCUUCCAGCUCAUCGUCCUUCUCCUUUCUGAAUUUUCUCCUGCAACCUCUGAACAUUUCUGUUAGAGCUCCAACGCUCAUUGCCAGCUAAUCAGUUGUGCAAUUUGUCGUCUUUCUUACCUUCCUUCUUGUAUAUGAACUGAUGAUUGAAGAAAUGAAAAGCUCGAGCUGUUUUCCCUAAAAUUCCAACA
rnacentral:lncRNA from 1 species